rnacentral:lncRNA from 1 species
CUUUUUUCAUAAGAAAUGGCUACCAUUAACAUAAGAGAAAUCAAAGAAAAGUAGACUUUCUGGAAAUCUAAAUUGUUCUUGAGAUUGAAUCAAUAAUGGAAGGUGAAAGUUGCAAAGUCUACAUUUAACAUAAGACACAACAAAUUUUUUCAUAAUAAAUGGCUACCAUUAACAUAAGAGAAAUCAAAGAAAAGUAGACUUUCUGGAAAUCUAAAUUGUUCUUGAGAUUGAAUCAAUAAUGGAAGGUGAAAGUUGCAAAGCCUACAUUUAACAUAAGACACAACAACUUUUUUCAUAAGAAAUGUGUCACGCCCCAAUUUUCGAAAGAUAAAUUUCAAAAAUUUUGGCAUGAUACAUCCUAAAAAUAUUAAUAUCCCAAAACCUGUUUCAACAAAAAUCAAGGAAAAUAAACUCAAAUGCGUAAUGUAAAUUUACACACAACUCACAAUUGAGUCAAAUAUUACAUUUCCUUGUUUACAUAACUUGAGAACAAGAAAGGAAACGCUCACAUGAGUUUAAUAAUUCCUAUCCCAGUGUAUAUAAAAGAAUAUACAAAGACACACCCAAAACCCAACAAAAAAACCCUACCACUACGCCUCCAUCUCAACCCUGCUGAUCCUCACCUGCAGGUCUAACCCCUACCCCAAGAAAUGGUGCACCGGGUUGUAAACAACAAACCUGGUAAGUUAAAAAGCUCGUAUGAGUAAACUCAAAAACAACACAACAUUUAUCACAUCCAAUAUUCACAAGAGAGAUUGGAUUAAUAAUUAAAAACCACACAUCAAACACAUUACCCAAGAAAUGUACCCAUGAGUCACAGAUAUUUAAUAAAAUACCUCUCAUGACCUACAACAACACCAUGUGUACCCAUGGGUCCCAGAUACCAUGUAAUACCCCGGAAAUUUGAUAUUAGUUUCUAAUUUUAUUUAGGAAUUUUUGAGUUAGAAGUUAGUGUGUUUUGAAGUUCGAAGGAAGAGCGGAAGGGUUCGGAUGCGUAAAUUGCCUGAACCGGUUUUAUGGUUCUGAAGGGUCAAGAGUUGACUUUCUAAUCCGUUGGGUUUCUCGAGAAACUUCCUUCACGAAAGUUGUAGAGCACGACGAUACGAGUUCGUAGACACGUGGCACGUGUAAAACGGACUUCGUAUGAGAAAGUUAUGGUCAGCAGAAGUUGUGGCUUUUCGGGAAUAUUUAGGUUAAAUAGGAAAAUUCGUUUGGGUUCUCUUAUUUUCAGAAUUCCUUUUCUUCCCCUUUCUUCUCUCUCCCUGACCCCGAGAGAACCCAAGCUUCCCAGCCGACCCGACCCGGACACGGUUGACCCGACCUGGAUUUUCCGGCCAUCUCCGGCCGACCCAGGCGACGGCACCGGUCGGAGUCGCUUCUCCUUGGCGGCGCAAUCUUCCCUGUGUUGGUGGAUGAGGAUGACCCGAGCUGAGCUGUGCAAGCCGAGCGCCACAGUGAGGGCGGGCGACCCGGUUGCAACCCGAUCGGUUUCCUACCUCCGGCGGCGGCGACG